rnacentral:rRNA from 1 species
GAUGAACGCUAGCUACAGGCUUAACACAUGCAAGUCGAGGGGCAGCACGGAGAUAGCUUGCUAUCUUGGGUGGCGACCGGCGCACGGGUGAGUAACGCGUAUCCAACCUGCCCAUUACUCUGGGAUAGCCUUGCGAAAGUAAGAUUAAUACCGGAUGUUGUUAAAAACCCGCAUGAGUUUUUAACCAAAGAUUUAUUGGUAAUGGAUGGGGAUGCGUGACAUUAGGUAGUUGGUGAGGUAACGGCUCACCAAGCCUACGUUGUCUAGGGGUUCUGAGAGGAAGGUCCCCCACACUGGAACUGAGACACGGUCCAGACUCCUACGGGAGGCAGCAGUGAGGAAUAUUGGUCAAUGGACGAGAGUCUGAACCAGCCAAGUAGCGUGCAGGACGACGGCCCUCUGGGUUGUAAACUGCUUUUAGUUGGGAAUAAAAAGAGGGACGUGUCCCUAAUUGUAUGUACCAUCAGAAAAAGGACCGGCUAAUUCCGUGCCAGCAGCCGCCGUAAGAC